UUGGUCAUUGCCGGAAUCGCGGCAGCCGGCGGCGCCAUUGCCAAUGGCGCCAGUUACUGGAUCAAUACCAGCAAGCCGAC
rnacentral:tRNA from 1 species